CAAAACAAAACAAAAAAACAACCCAAAAGCCAAAAAACCCAAAAAAACCCCCAAAACCCGCAAAACUCUUACUGAAACAAGCUACAGAGGAGGGAAUUACUGUCUGUGUGUAAAAGGAAACACACAGAGGGAUAUUUUAACCUGCACCUUCCAGCUCCCCCAGCAUGGGCUGGAUCCAAAGCUUGUAAAAGCCAGUGGGAAGCUCUCAUUGCCCUCAUGAGAACUGGACCAGGUCCCACCUGCUCUUUUAGCCCAGAGGAAAUAUCCCCGUGUUUCCAGAAGGGGAAGGCAUUCUGCAGCAUACCCAGGUGUAUUUUCAUGUAAAUUCAAGAGAUUUGCCUGGAACUCUGAAACUGGAUUUCUGGCUGCUGUAAACAGGCCUGGCCAUACAGUCACUUUAUUAAUUGACUUCAGCAGAGGUUGAUGAGACCUAUUUCUUCACUGGAAGCUUGUUCCACAAAGAAAAUAUCCUGCCAGCACCCUCACUUCCAACAUGCUGCAUCCCUGAGGAACCUGCAUCUCAGAACUCGCUUGAUUCUUUGCCCCUGCAUUAAAG